ensembl:lncRNA
CGGAUCCAGCGUGUCACUUUCAAUUUCCAAAAAGCAUCAGCUUCCUGCCACACACACACACACACACACACCAGCUUCCUGCCUCAGCUGGUGUGUGUGUUGAGUUGGCAGAGAUCCAGAUGUUUUCCCACAGCAGCCAGUUGGUCAGUCAGUCACUUCUGUCACUGUCAGGCUCUGAUCCAAAGCGGUUAGCUGGAGGAACAUCCUGACUUCAUCCUGCGCUGCAGUACUAACACACACACACACACACACACACACACACACACACACACCUGUCCUACAGAUGGGUGCAGGUAAUGCUGUGUUAAUUGGUGUGUUUACAGGCUCAGGACUACGAUUAACCUCCUUUGGAUGCUUUUAUCUGCAUUAACGCUCGCAGCAGAGUGAUGAUGGUUAGCGCUAUUAGCGAUCCGUACCCGUGACCUCGCCAACAUUAGCAGCGCUUUAAACAGCCUGAGCUGGAGGUCAGGAUGACGUCCUCCUACUUGAUUUCAUAGUUUUUUGGGUUUUUUUUUUUUUAAUUGAAUUUCUUUCUCACACAUUUUCAUACCAAAAGAUUUUUUCUGCUCACUUCCAGCUCCACACUGUAACUCUUGAUGCAAAGCUACUCUACUCCAGUAGAGUAGCUUUGCAUCAAUCCUUUUCUUGUACAGGGCUCUGGUGCAGCUCCUCCCGUUGUCAGAUACUCUGCUUCUCCUUUGUUUGUCUUUACAGCUGCUCUGUUGACUUCAGAUCAGGCGACUUGAUUACUGAAGAAUCUCACAUUUCCGCUUCUUCAUGUAGAAAAAUUAAAAGAUGAUAAAAGUUUAUAUUUCUCACAGUCAUGAUAAUAUUGGCUGUCAGCCACUGCUGUUCCAUACACUAAAAACAAACUGCGUCUGUGUGGAUGUAUUUGUGAUGCUGAAAUGCAGAGAAUGUGUUUGGGACAGAAGUGAUAAGAGAGUCUUAAGGAUGCUGAAACCUCGAGAAGAUGGCUGUCCAGGAUGGUAAUUUGGACGGUUCAUUAGUUUUAGAGAUCAGGGAGAGUGUGUGUCCAGCCUGGAGCCACACUGGGUUAUCUGCGCACACAC